rnacentral:rRNA from 1 species
CCUACGGCGUGCAGCAGUGGGGAAUAUUGCACAAUGGCGGAAACCCUGAUGCAGCGACGCCGCGUGAGUGAAGAAGAAUUUCGGUAGGUAACGCUCUAUCAGCAGGGAAGAAGAAAGACGGUACCUGACUAAGAAGCGUCGGUUAACUACGUGCCAGCAGCCGCGGUAAUACGUGGGGAGCAAGCGUUAUCCGGAUGUACGGGUUGGAAAGGGAGGGUAGACGGCUGGGCAAGUCUGACGUGAAGUCCCAGGGCUGAACCUGGGUACUUCUUUGGAAACUGAGGAGCUAGAGUGAUGGAGAGAUAAUUGUAAUUCCUAGGGUAGCGGCGAAGUAGGGAGAUAUUAGUAGGAACACCAG